GCUCCUUUCACAGUGCAUAUAACUAAAAUUGGAACAAUAAAUGGAAGACUAGCAUGGCCUCUUCUACAGGAUGACAUGCAAACUUGUGAAGUGUCCCAAAUCUUU